GACGAACGCUGGCGGCGUGCUUAACACAUGCAAGUCGAACGCUGAAGCCUAGCUUUUGUUGGGUGGAUGAGUGGCGAACGGGUGAGUAACACGUGAGUAACCUGCCCCCUUCUUUGGGAUAACGCCCGGAAACGGGUGCUAAUACUGGAUAUUCACUGAUCUUCGCAUGGGGGUUGGUGGAAAGGUUUUUUCUGGUGGGGGAUGGGCUCGCGGCCUAUCAGCUUGUUGGUGGGGUGAUGGCCUACCAAGGCUUUGACGGGUAGCCGGCCUGAGAGGGUGACCGGUCACAUUGGGACUGAGAUACGGCCCAGACUCCUACGGGAGGCAGCAGUGGGGAAUAUUGCACAAUGGGCGAAAGCCUGAUGCAGCGACGCCGCGUGAGGGAUGGAGGCCUUCGGGUUGUAAACCUCUUUCGCUCAUGGUCAAGCCGCAACAUUGGUUGUGGUGAGGGUAGUGGGUAAAGAAGCGCCUG
rnacentral:rRNA from 1 species